UACGAAGGGGGCUAGCGUUGCUCGGAAUUACUGGGCGUAAAGCGCACGUAGGCGGUUUGCUAAGUCAGGGGUGAAAUCCUGGAGCUCAACUCCAGAACUGCCUUUGAUACUGGCGAUCUCGAGUCCGGGAGAGGUGAGUGGAACUGCGAGUGUAGAGGUGAAAUUCGUAGAUAUUCGCAAGAACACCAGUGGCGAAGGCGGCUCACUGGCCCGGUACUGACGCUGAGGUGCGAAAGCGUGGGGAGCGAACAGG
rnacentral:rRNA from 1 species